rnacentral:pre_miRNA from 1 species
CUUAACCAAAUGGAUGGUGUUCAGCACCAAGGACAGGUAUGUUUGUCUGCGUGUGGAUAGUGUUCAGCACCAAGGACAGGUAUGUUUGUCU